CAGUGUGAUUCGUCACACUAUCAUUAACUGAAUCCAUAGGUUAAUGAGGCGAACCGGGGGAACUGAAACAUCUAAGUACCCCGAGGAAAAGAAAUCAACCGAGAUUCCCCCAGUAGCGGCGAGCGAACGGGGAGCAGCCCAGAGCCUGAAUCAGUGUGUGUGUUAGUGGAAGCGUCUGGAAAGGCGCGCGAUACAGGGUGACAGCCCCGUACACAAAAAUGCACAUAUUGUGAGCUCGAUGAGUAGGGCGGGACACGUGGUAUCCUGUCUGAAUAUGGGGGGCCCAUCCUCCAAGGCUAAAUACUCCUGACUGACCGAUAGUGAACCAGUACCGUGAGGGAAAGGCGAAAAGAACCCCGGCGAGGGGAGUGAAAAAGAACCUGAAACCGUGUACGUACAAGCAGUGGGAGCACGCUUAGGCGUGUGACUGCGUACCUUUUGUAUAAUGGGUCAGCGACUUAUAUUCUGUAGCAAGGUUAACCGAAUAGGGGAGCCGAAGGGAAACCGAGUCUUAACUGGGCGUUAAGUUGCAGGGUAUAGACCCGAAACCCGGUGAUCUAGCCAUGGGCAGGUUGAAGGUUGGGUAACACUAACUGGAGGACCGAACCGACUAAUGUUGAAAAAUUAGCGGAUGACUUGUGGCUGGGGGUGAAAGGCCAAUCAAACCGGGAGAUAGCUGGUUCUCCCCGAAAGCUAUUUAGGUAGCGCCUCGUGAAUUCAUCUCCGGGGGUAGAGCACUGUUUCGGCAAGGGGGUCAUCCCGACUUACCAACCCGAUGCAAACUGCGAAUACCGGAGAAUGUUAUCACGGGAGACACACGGCGGGUGCUAACGUCCGUCGUGAAGAGGGAAACAACCCAGACCGCCAGCUAAGGUCCCAAAGUCAUGGUUAAGUGGGAAACGAUGUGGGAAGGCCCAGACAGCCAGGAUGUUGGCUUAGAAGCAGCCAUCAUUUAAAGAAAGCGUAAUAGCUCACUGGUCGAGUCGGCCUGCGCGGAAGAUGUAACGGGGCUAAACCAUGCACCGAAGCUGCGGCAGCGACGCUUAUGCGUUGUUGGGUAGGGGAGCGUUCUGUAAGCCUGCGAAGGUGUGCUGUGAGGCAUGCUGGAGGUAUCAGAAGUGCGAAUGCUGACAUAAGUAACGAUAAAGCGGGUGAAAAGCCCGCUCGCCGGAAGACCAAGGGUUCCUGUCCAACGUUAAUCGGGGCAGGGUGAGUCGACCCCUAAGGCGAGGCCGAAAGGCGUAGUCGAUGGGAAACAGGUUAAUAUUCCUGUACUUGGUGUUACUGCGAAGGGGGGACGGAGAAGGCUAUGUUGGCCGGGCGACGGUUGUCCCGGUUUAAGCGUGUAGGCUGGUUUUCCAGGCAAAUCCGGAAAAUCAAGGCUGAGGCGUGAUGACGAGGCACUACGGUGCUGAAGCAACAAAUGCCCUGCUUCCAGGAAAAGCCUCUAAGCAUCAGGUAACAUCAAAUCGUACCCCAAACCGACACAGGUGGUCAGGUAGAGAAUACCAAGGCGCUUGAGAGAACUCGGGUGAAGGAACUAGGCAAAAUGGUGCCGUAACUUCGGGAGAAGGCACGCUGAUAUGUAGGUGAAGUCCCUUGCGGAUGGAGCUGAAAUCAGUCGAAGAUACCAGCUGGCUGCAACUGUUUAUUAAAAACACAGCACUGUGCAAACACGAAAGUGGACGUAUACGGUGUGACGCCUGCCCGGUGCCGGAAGGUUAAUUGAUGGGGUCAGCGCAAGCGAAGCUCUUGAUCGAAGCCCCGGUAAACGGCGGCCGUAACUAUAACGGUCCUAAGGUAGCGAAAUUCCUUGUCGGGUAAGUUCCGACCUGCACGAAUGGCGUAAUGAUGGCCAGGCUGUCUCCACCCGAGACUCAGUGAAAUUGAACUCGCUGUGAAGAUGCAGUGUACCCGCGGCAAGACGGAAAGACCCCGUGAACCUUUACUAUAGCUUGACACUGAACAUUGAGCCUUGAUGUGUAGGAUAGGUGGGAGGCUUUGAAGUGUGGACGCCAGUCUGCAUGGAGCCGGCCUUGAAAUACCACCCUUUAAUGUUUGAUGUUCUAACGUGGACCCGUGAUCCGGGUUGCGGACAGUGUCUGGUGGGUAGUUUGACUGGGGCGGUCUCCUCCUAAAGAGUAACGGAGGAGCACGAAGGUUGGCUAAUCCUGGUCGGACAUCAGGAGGUUAGUGCAAUGGCAUAAGCCAGCUUGACUGCGAGCGUGACGGCGCGAGCAGGUGCGAAAGCAGGUCAUAGUGAUCCGGUGGUUCUGAAUGGAAGGGCCAUCGCUCAACGGAUAAAAGGUACUCCGGGGAUAACAGGCUGAUACCGCCCAAGAGUUCAUAUCGACGGCGGUGUUUGGCACCUCGAUGUCGGCUCAUCACAUCCUGGGGCUGAAGUAGGUCCCAAGGGUAUGGCUGUUCGCCAUUUAAAGUGGUACGCGAGCUGGGUUUAGAACGUCGUGAGACAGUUCGGUCCCUAUCUGCCGUGGGCGCUGGAGAACUGAGGGGGGCUGCUCCUAGUACGAGAGGACCGGAGUGGACGCAUCACUGGUGUUCGGGUUGUCAUGCCAAUGGCACUGCCCGGUAGCUAAAUGCGGAAGAGAUAAGUGCUGAAAGCAUCUAAGCACGAAACUUGCCCCGAGAUGAGUUCUCCCUGACCCUUUAAGGGUCCUGAAGGAACGUUGAAGACGACGACGUUGAUAGGCCGGGUGUGUAAGCGCAGCGAUGCGUUGAGCUAACCGGUACUAAUGAACCGUGAG
rnacentral:rRNA from 1 species